rnacentral:rRNA from 1 species
UACAGAGGGUGCAAGCGUUGUUCGGAAUUAUUGGGCGUAAAGGGCGCGUAGGCGGUGCCACAAGUCACCUGUGAAAUCUCCAGGCUUAACUCGGAGCCUGCAGGCGAAACUGUGGUGCUGGAGUGUGGGAGAGGUGCGUGGAAUUCCCGGUGUAGCGGUGAAAUGCGUAGAUAUCAGGAGGAACACCGGUGGCGAAGGCGGGUCUCUGGGCCGUAACUGACGCUGAGGAGCGAAAGCGUGGGGAGCGAACAGG